CAGUUUGAUCUCAGACUGCUGUGCUAGCAAUCAGCAAGACUCCGUGGGCGUAGGACCCUCCAAGCCAGGUGCGAUAUAAUGUCGUGGUGCGCCGUUUUUUAAGCUGGUUGGAAAAGCGCAGUAUUCGCGUGGGAGUGACCCGAUUUUCCAGUGAGAUGAACCCGGUACCUCAGAUUGAAAUGCAGAAAUCACCCGUCUUCUGCGUCGCUCACGCUGGGAGCUGUAGACCGGAGCUGUUCCUAUUCGGCCAUCUUGGCUCCUCCCUCAGUUCUGGAGACUGGGACAUCCAAGGUCAAUGUGCUGGCAGAUUCAAUGUCUGGAUUGGCAAACACAAAUCAUGUUCCAAGUUCUGCCUUCCACCUGAGUGAAAUACAUCACCGCUUUCCCUGCUCCCGCCGCCAUUAAAAUUGUGUUUGGCAUCUGACCACCAAGAUACAGAUAUUUCCUAGACUGUUUUGCAGCUAGGUACUUAGGAGUAACAUGAUGUGAUUUCAUUUGUUAAUGAAUCUCAUUCUUACUAAUACAUGGAGAGUGGAUUGGAGGCCAGAGUGGAAGUAGAGACCAGUUGAAAAGGCAGUAAUAAUGUUUGGAGUUGGUCGGAGAAGACCCUUUCCCAUUCUCUUUUGCUCCAGACCUUCCCAAAACGCAACCACUCAAGUUUUACAGGGUAAUUUUGGAGAAUGUCCCAUGUAUCCAAGAAUGUGUUUUCUGCAGCUGCUGCAUAAAAUGUGUUAGUCUACAACCAAGACAGCUCAA
rnacentral:lncRNA from 1 species